rnacentral:rRNA from 1 species
UAAGGAAUAUUGGUCAAUGGGCGAGAGCCUGAACCAGCCAUGCCGCGUGCAGGAAGAAAGCCCUCCGGGUUGUAAACUGCUUUUGUACGGGAAGAAACCCAUCUACGUGUAGGUGGUUGACGGUACUGUAAGAAUAAGGAUCGGCUAACUUCGUGCCAGCAGCCGCGGUAAUACGAAGGAUCCAAGCGUUAUCCGGAUUUAUUGGGUUUAAAGGGUGCGUAGGCGGCUUAUUAAGUCAGUGGUGAAAGCCCGAUGCUUAACAUCGGAACUGCCAUUGAUACUGAUGAGCUUGAAUAUACUUGAGGUAGGCGGAAUGUGUCAUGUAGCGGUGAAAUGCUUAGAUAUGACACAGAACACCGAUUGCGAAGGCAGCUUGCUAAAGUAUGAUUGACGCUGAGGCACUAAAGCGUGGGGAUCAAACAGGAUUAGAUACCCCCGUAGUCC